rnacentral:rRNA from 1 species
CACGUAGUUAGCCGGUGCUUAUUCUUACGGUACCGUCAUGGGCCCCCUGUAUUAGAAGGAGCUUUUUCGUUCCGUACAAAAGCAGUUUACAACCCGAAGGCCUUCAUCCUGCACGCAGCAUUGCUGGAUCAGGCUUUCGCCAAUUGUCCAAAAUUCCUCA